rnacentral:rRNA from 1 species
UGCGUAGGCGGCUUUUUAAGUCAGAGGUGAAAUCCCGGGGCUCAACCCCGGAACUGCCUUUGAAACUGGGAAGCUAGAAUCCUGGAGAGGCGAGUGGAAUUCCGAGUGUAGAGGUGAAAUUCGUAGAUAUUCGGAAGAACACCAGUGGCGAAGGCGACUCGCUGGACAGGUAUUGACGCUGAGGUGCGAAAGCGUGGGGAGCAAACAGGAUUAGAUACCCCUGUA